AAGCCUGAUAUAUGAAUAAAUGAU
rnacentral:siRNA from 1 species